rnacentral:rRNA from 1 species
UGGGAUGCGAAUCUCGAAAGCCUGUCUCAGUUCGGAUUGGAGGCUGAAACCCGCCUCCAUGAAGUUGGAUUCGCUAGUAAUCGCGCAUCAGCCAUGGCGCGGUGAAUACGUUCCCGGGCCUUGUACACACCGCCCGUCAAGCCAUGGGAGCCGGGAGCGCUUGAAGUGCGUCGCCGCGAGGCGCGCCCUAGAGCGAGACCGGUGACUGGGGCUAAGUCGUAACAAGGUAGC